GCAGCUUUUGGGGGGUAGUGGUGCAUCAGAGUAGUGGCUAAAAUUCAUCUCUACAUAACAGAUGUGUGUAAUUUGACUUUCACCGGAGUGAAAACUAUAACUGAUCUCUUGGAUGUUUUAAAAAGUCUUUUUUUCACCUGUCUCCCUCCUUGUGUUUUGCUGUUGCACGUAGGGUUUUGUGGUCAGUUUUUGCUCUGUCAAGGUCUGAUUUGUUUAAAAAUAGUAUAUCAGGUUUGCUAUCAUCUUUCUAAAAGAAGAAACUAAUAAAUCACACACAACAGUUCUGCUUUAGUAAAUGUGGGUUGCUGUCUGUAUGGCUUAAAAACACUUUCUUCCCAAGUCUGGUGCUGCAUGACAGUCAGAAAAAAUGACACCACCACCACCAAAAGAAAAAGCAUAAGCAAUAGCUUCCGAAGCCUCUGGCUACCAUGGAGUUAAAGAAAAUAAAUAAUUAGUUGCAAACAAAGCCGUUUAAAAAAUACUUUAUGCUUGCCAGCAUCAUGUCAAUGAACUGUGUGCUUGUCAAGGCACCCUCGGCCAUACAAAAGAUCUCAGCAAAACUGCUAUGGAUCUUAUUCAAUCUCUGCAAGUGCAGCUGGUUUCCCCUUUUGAUCCACAAAAGGAACACAUGCUGUGUUCAGCCUUUCACUCCUGGAACUGCCUAAAGGAACCAGAAGGAGUAACAUCUUGAGGAUUGCAAGAAGAAUUCUCUGCCUGUUUACAGACAAGACAUGUGAAAUGAGACCUCCUGGUUAUUCCAUAGAGCUGAAGAGGAAUUAAUGCAACACUACUGCAAACAGCAGAAGAGAGGCUUGGAUUCUCUCCGUGUUGAUGAUGGAAAAAAACAAAUUUCAGUUCUUUUGGAGAUGAGCCCCAUUGACCUGCAGGAAGAAAAAAAGGCUUAGGUGGGGGAGAAAUGAAGAGGAAAGGGAAAGGAGUCAGAAGAUUUUAGUUUCCUAUUCAGAAGCUAGCCUCCUCCCUGCCUCCCCAGUUUUUUUAAUUGCUCUUUAGAUUCCCCUUCCUCCACUUCUGGGUAGGAAGUGUGUUCUGCUUCUAGUGAAGGAGUGAAGCUGAGGAUGACAGCUUUAGUACUGGCAACACUUAAAAAUGAUCCAGGAGCAAAGGGAGUUACUUCCAAGUUGGGUACUGAUGAGUGGUGUGGUUAUUUAUUUCUCAACUGUUGUGAGUAUGAAAUUAAGUAGUUAAACAUAAACUGAGUUCAAGGAAUCAUAUGACUAACUGCAGCAUCCCUGCACUCAGACUAUUUCAUUUCAGUAUAAUAUAUAGAAAAAUAACAAAGUAAAAAUGCUUAAACACAUGGGAUCUUCAUUUUAGUGAUCAGCUUAUAAAACAAAGCAUCCAUAAUUUGAAUAACUGUUCAAUACAAAUAUUAAACCAUUUUGUUAGCAUAUAGAAGUCAUUUAUUAUUGCCGCUUUCCUAUUUAAGUGGCCAGAUAAUGGGGCCACUUUAUAAAGGAGGAAGAAGUUUAUAUGUACAGUGACUUAAAUUUUUAAGGUGACAUGCAACUUCAUUGACAUAAUAUACUGGUAAGUGACAAAGUAGCUAAGAAUGGUGAACUAACUUACUAAUUGCAGUGGGCAUGUUUCUUUAGAUUCCUACUCAGUGGUCAUCAGUUGGCUGCCUGAGGAGUCUAAUGGAGGAUCAAAGGAAGGGUUUGUGGAGGAAGAAUAUAGUGGAGGAAUGGCAGAGGAAUCAGCAGAGGGGCUGGAAGAAGAAUCCAGUGGCAGAUCGGCGGAGGGGCUGGAGGAAGAACUUGGUGUCGGAUAGGCAGAGGAAGAAUUUGAUGAAAUAUUGGAGGAGGGAUGUCAGUGUAGGAUUAGAAGAGUGGAGGGGAGGAGCCUAGUAGAAGAUCAGAGGGGGAAGCCUCUGGAGAAUGGGAGGAGGAGCCCUGCUGAAGAGCUCUUAGUUAAAACAAUAAACUUUAUUUUUAAAAGA